rnacentral:rRNA from 1 species
GAUGAACGCUAGCUACAGGCUUAACACAUGCAAGUCGAGGGACCGGCGGACGGGUGAGUAAUGUAUGGGGAUCUGCCUGAUGGCGGGGGAUAACUACUGGAAACGGUAGCUAAUACCGCAUACCAUCAGAUGAACCCAUAUGGGAUUAGCUAGUAGGUGAGGUAACGGCUUACCUAGGCAACGAUCCCUAGCUGGUCUGAGAGGAUGAUCAGCCACACUGGGACUGAGACACGGCCCAGACUCCUACGUGAGGCAGCAGUGGGGAAUAUUGCACAAUGGGCGCAAGCCUGAUGCAGCCAUGCCGCGUGUAUGAAGAAGGCCUUCGGGUUGUAAAGUACUUUCAGUCGGGAGGCGUUACCGACAGAAGAAGCACCGGCUAACUCCGUGCCAGCAGCCGCGGUAAUAC